UGUACCGAAACUUCCUGUUUCCAUCACAGCUGUUGAGACUUUCCUGGCAAAACUGGAUGGAAACGUGGUUGACUGAUUUGAAAUCCGAGUGAACUAGAUGGGGUGACAUGGACUCCGGUGACUACGUCCGCAUGCGGUAUGAGAAGAGGCUGAGGGGGGGCUGGAGGACAGGUCUGGAGGACAAGAUCAGCCAAUGGGGCAACUUUGAGAAGUUCUAAGGGCGUUGGUCGCCGGGUGAUGGAGAAGCAGGGCUGGAAGGAGGGAAAGGGCCUGGGUCAGGAUUCCAGAAGCCCUGGAGAAUGAAGGACAGCAUCCCAAAUGCAAGAGGGGCUUUGGGUACCAUGGAGAGAAGCUGAGCUCCUACUUGUGAAAAGGCCAAACCAGACUUGUGCAUAUCCACGGUGUAUGAUAAACCCAAAGACAUUGACCAAGGAGAUCCCUUAUUGAGACGCCAUCACAAAACGAGCAUGAAGUACAGAGGCUGGCAGCCAGGUAGCAGCAUUGGGCCAAAAAGAUGACAACACUGUAUUUACAUGUUGAUACAAUUUUUCUUAUUGCUAUUAUUACCUUUUUUCCCAUUAGAAUUCAUGCUUUGUUUAUAUUAAAGCAUUUAUCAUACAUGGAAUUUGUUUAAAUUAUUUUCUUGUCUCCUAAAUGAAUUACACAUUUGUAAAUUUUACCAUAGUAUGAUUGAACCAGAAGUAAUUAUUUUAGCCAGUAGUAGUUGGCUAGACCUGCCUUCCGCCUGCAAGAAUAAGGCCGUGACC